rnacentral:rRNA from 1 species
GACGUAGGAUGCAAGCGUUGUCCGGAUUUAUUGGGCGUAAAGAGUUCGUAGGUGGGACAUCAAGUCUAAUGUGAAAGCGUAGAGCUUAACUCUAUAACCGCAUUGGAAACUGUAGUUCUAGAGCAAGGUAGGGGUCAGAAGAAUUCCUGGUGUAGCGGUGAAAUGCGUAGAUAUCAGGAGGAACACCGGUGGCGAAAGCAUCUGACUGGGCCUUUGCUGACACUGAGGAACGAGAGCUAGGGGAGCGAAAGGG